GUUUUCGGCAAGUAAACAAACAUUGUGCAUUGCAUCUUGCAAACAACUGUUACCAGUGGAUUCCCCAAGAGACUGACGUUGUUGGAUGUUUCGAGACGCGAGAGGAAGUAACCCUGCUGCCCCCUGCCUUCCCAUGCUGCAGUGUUAGCAAUGCUGGAGCUGACCACUGCUGGAAAGAUCGCCUUAUUCCUUGCUGUCCCCACCACCUUUGUCCUUCUGUACUGGCUGCUGAAUCACAGGGAAGACGACGAUGAUGAUCCACUCUCUGCAUCCAAAGUUACCACAUCACGUCAAACGGUUAUCGAGGUUAAAGUCCCACGCAAGAUUGUCGGCUCAGUGAUUGGACGACAGGGAGCUAAUAU